GUCUGACAAGGGCAAAGCACUCCGAAAGGAUGCGACGCAAAGCCACCGGCCUACGUUUUGCCAAGGCAGAAUAAGGUAGCGGGGACGCCGGA
rnacentral:ncRNA from 1 species